GCCUGAGCUCAGUGUCAGCUGCGGGGCCAUCAUCCUCGCCCACCUCCUAGGGCUAGCAAACCUGCUUCUGGUAGAUGACAGCCACCCGAUGCCGCCCUAGCUCAGAUAUGUGAUGCCCACCAUUAAAGAUCCCUUCCCUGGAUUGAAGGACAGGCUUCUAUUGAACUCCUUUAUGGGAAAGAUGCACUCCAAGCUGCCAGCAUUCUUUUGUCCUUUAAUGCGAGUUGUCAAGACCCUUUUCAGACCAGCAGCUAGGACCUUCCAAGCAACUGUUCCCAGAAGCCAUGACAUGUCCCUGCAGCUGGAGGCCUUCCAGGGAGGGCCAUAGAG